GUGAGGAAUAUUGCGCAAUGGAGGCAACUCUGACGCAGCCAUGCCGCGUGCAGGAAGAAGGCGCUACGCGUUGUAAACUGCUUUUAACCGGGAAGAAACCCCACGACGUGUCCUGGGUUGACGGUACCGGAGGAAUAAGCACCGGCUAACUUCGUGCCAGCAGCCGCGGUAAUACGAAGGGUGCAAGCGUUAUCCGGAUUCAUUGGGUUUAAAGGGUGCGUAGGCGGAGCGUUAAGUCAGUGGUGAAAUCCUGCAGCUUAACUGUAGACUUGCCAUUGAUACUGGCGCUCUUGAGUGCGCUUGAAGUGGGCGGAAUGUGCCGUGUAGCGGUGAAAUGCUUAGAUAUGGCACAGAACACCAAUUGCGAAGGCAGCUCACUAAGGCGAUACUGACGCUGAGGCACGAAAGCGUGGGGAUCGAACAGGAUUAGAUACCCUGGUAGUCC
rnacentral:rRNA from 1 species